rnacentral:misc_RNA from 1 species
AACAUCGCGCACCUGCGGGAACCUGCGGAGGGAUCAUUAAUGAUUGGUGGCUGUUGCUGACUAGUGUUUCUAGUAUGUGCACGCCACACCUUCAAUCCCGCUUACACCUGUGCACCUUCUGUAAUAGAUCUAUGUGGAUACGGAGAUAUGAAAGUUUGCGCUCUCGUACUCUGUUGAAGCAGUCUACUACGUUUUUUUACACACACACAAUAGUCAUUGAAUGUAUUUUUUAUUCUUAUG